UUUCCGUAGGUGAACCUGCGGAAGGAUCAUUAUUGUAUAACCGAGGUGCGAGGGCUGUCGCUGACCCGAAAGGUCGUGCACGCCCGAGUGCCCUCACACACAUCCAACUCACCCCUAUGUGCACCACCGCGUGGGUCCCCCUUUGGCUUGUUCGGAGGGGGGCUUACGUUUUCACACAAACUUUGUAUGCAGUGUAGAAUAUAUUUUUUGUUUUUGCGAUCACGCAAUCAAUACAACUUUCAACAACGGAUCUCUUGGCUCUC
rnacentral:misc_RNA from 1 species